GCAGUUUGUGUUUUUAGAAGCAUACGCACCGAUCCCAGGGGACACCACUCGCUCAUAGUGGUCCGGCCAUCGCCACAGACGAGCGUAUAUGACAUGAGGGAAACCCUUCCGCCCAGCCACCUGAGGAGCAAUGACAACACUUUGAUGUCAACAGUACAGUAUUAUAACAGGGUUUAAUUCACACUCUCACAGCUAUGACUUUUUAAACUUUUAGUGUGAUAUUAAUAAUACAAUAUAUUUUACUUAAAUCAUUUCUACAGAGAUUUACAGAGAUUGCUUAAUAUUAAGGGUUAAAAGUUACAUAGAAUUGAGUUACGAACAUUUAGCAAAGAGAAGGAUCCUUUUCUACCUUUUUGUUGAUCAUUUUGUUUUUCUUAUAUCUAUUUAGUAUUAUUUAUUAUGCGCUGACUGAAAAUUUCCCUGGACUGCAUGUAUCCUCAGUAUCAUAUUCAUUCUCCACCCUGCCCCAAGUCUUAACACCGUUCAAAAGAACUAUUCA